UACGGAGGGUGCGAGCGUUGUCCGGAAUCAUUGGGCGUAAAGCGCGCGUAGGCGGCUUUGUCAGUUCGAGGUGAAAGCCCGGAGCUCAACUCCGGAACUGCCUUUAAGACUGCAUCGCUAGAAUCAUGGAGAGGUGAGUGGAAUUCCGAGUGUAGAGGUGAAAUUCGUAGAUAUUCGGAAGAACACCAGUGGCGAAGGCGACUCACUGGACAUGUAUUGACGCUGAGGUGCGAAAGCGUGGGGAGCAAACAGG
rnacentral:rRNA from 1 species